UUUCCUUUUUUUGCAGGCUUUAGAGAGAGAAACGAGGAGAAGCAACAACGUGUAUGAAUGAUCAGAGGCUUAAACUAUUCAUGAUGACGUGGCAUGGAUUCUAGACACGUGGUAAUCAAACGACGACAUAAUUUAUGAAGAGGCUUAUUGUUGAUGACACGUAUUUUCUACCACUUGCCUCUAUUUGACCGUGACGGCGCUUCUGGCCCUCGACCUCCUUUUGACCACGUCAGCGCCCCAUUUUACUUGCUUGAGGACGAGGUCUCAUGGCAAGUGAAGGUCCGUUCGGCAUUCCUCCGGGGGUUGAGUUUGUUGACUUGUCUUCAGACUCAGAGUCCCCUGAGGAAAACCCUUACCAAGAUCAUGACACCCUAAGGCAGGCCCGUAUUCGUCAUCUUGAGCACAUAGCUGAACUUAGGCAUAAAAUUUGGGUGGUAGAGAGCGAAAUUGACUCGGUGUUGAGAGGAGAUGGAGCACCUUUCCCUCCUGACCUUAGUGACCAUGUAGCGAGCCUUAGGAUGACCCUUUUAGAUUUGCAGGGGGAGUUGGAGUUUAUGGAGGGACAUCUUCCGCCUGAGCCUUCUAGCCCAUCCUUGCCUAAUGACUGUCAUGGGGCUGCUUCUGCUUCUCUUCAGCCCUUAUUUUCGAUCUUCCCUAGCUUAGCGCUUCCGCAGCCGGUGCCCUGGUGGAAGACUCUUGCUAGGAAGAGAAAAUGGAGGGUCAAGUGUUCUAUCUCUUCUUCACCUUUUUCUUUUGGUUUUGCAGAUAUGUCGAAGGGAGGACGACGACAGGUGUCCAUUAAUGAACGGGACGAAGCCCCCCUAUUGGCAUCCACCCUGGUGUCCCACGUGUCUGAAAAUAAAUUGAGGGAAAUUGUAGAGCACUACCGUGUUCCCCUGGAGUACGCAUUAUACACCCCUUCGGACAAGUUCCGGGCUAACUGCCCUAAUCCUGGCUUCGUGGCCCUUAGCGAUCAUAUCCUGAAGGCGGGUGGUACCAUCCCAUUACACCCGUUCUUUGUUGCGGUUCUCAACUAUUUUGACCUCGCUCCACUUCAGCUGGCACCCAAUAGUUAGCUGACCUUGAGUUGCCUCUUUAUCGUGUUUAUGGAACUUGUCGAACGUGCUCCUACGGCCUUAGAGGUGCACUUCCUGUACAAUCUCAUGCCCUCUCCCAAAUCCAAGGGCUUCUAUUUCCUGCAAAAAGCCAAUAAUGAAGUCCCUCUGAUAGAUGGUGCAGUGUCCAACCUGGGGUCCUAGAAGCAGGACUUUUUCUUUGUGAAAGGCCCUCUUUCUGUUCGUGAGCACUUCCGUUCCGCUCCCAAGCAGUUCGCCAUACCUGUAGUUGUUGGGUCGGAAGCGAACGCCGUGAACGAUCUUAUCAAAGUUGACCCUGCCGUGAAAAAGGCUGCAUACCUAUUCACUGUGGAAAAACUUAACCUUCACAGGCUGUCCCCGGUUUCAGAUCCCAGGUUGUUGUGGACUAUUCCUGGGUCAAAGAGGAUGAAGGCUGCCUCGGCUGAGCCUUGUCCGGGUGAAGGUGAGGCUGAGGAUGUGCCGGAGGGAGUCUCCCUUGGACACGGGCAACCUUACCAGCUAUCCUCGUCCCCCGGGGGAUGUCCUCCCUUUGUCCCUUUCGACCCGGACAUGGCUUCCCAAUCCUAAGGUCAACAGGUCAUACCGGGGCUGUAACGACCCAAAUUCGCUAAUAAGGCUUAAGGGCCUUGAUUAGUGUGCCUAGAGGGCAUAAUGAGAAUUAUGUGUGAUUUUAAUGAGUAAGAUGUAUGAUUAUGAUUUAAAGCAUGUUAUAUGACUAUUUGAAUAUUUGAGAUGCAUGAUUAUGUGUAUUAGUAUGCAUGUAGGCCCUGAUUAGGUUAGAAGGGCAAAUCGUAAUUUUGGCCAUUUUGGGCAUGACUGUAUUGAUAUAUGUGAUAAUUGUCGAGACCACAUUAUUAUGUGGAUAUAUCUGUGAUCUGUGACUCGAGACGAUCCUAGUGAGCAAAGUAGCGAAAAAGUCAUGGCGGGGAUUUAUACCCGGCUCGGGGUGAGCCUGGGGGUAUAAAUGGGAAUUUAGUGAGUAUAUGGGAGUUUAUUUCGACAUCGAGGAAUAUAAUUGGUGAUUAGUUAGGUAUCGGGAAUUAAUCGGUAAAUAUUAGAGACACUCGAGGAACUAGCGGGAAUUGGGCGAAAUGACCAAAAUACCCUUAAGUGGACUAAAGGACUUGGAAUUAAAGGGGAGGGUAUUGUGGUCAUUUGACAAAUAGAGAUAAGUAAAACUGAGGCUUUAUGUUAGUGGAAGUUGUAGAAAAAUAUAGAAGUCUGAAAGAAGGAAAAGAAAGAAAAGAGAAAAGGAAGGAAAAGCAGAGUUGUAUUCUCUAGGGUCGGUUUGUGGUUCUCUCACCACUUUUCUUGGGUUUUCUUGGAGCAAAGCUCAGAGGAGAGCUAGGUUAGGCUGAGCAUCAAGGAUCCUAAGCUAGGCUUGAAGAAUUGACAGAGGUUUAGCAAGAGCAGACCAUCACUUGAGGUAAGACUUUGUGGCUUCUUCAGUUUCAGGUUUUGGUUUUUAAACUAUGGUGUAUAAUCUGAACUUGAUGGGAACUUUAGGGAAUUCAGGCCAAAGGGUGAGGAAGAUCAAGCUAAGGAGGUGUAGAGGUUGUCUUGAAAUCGAAAUCCCAUUAAAGGUAUGAAGUUCUGAGCUUUAACUUUGAUGUUUAACUGGUUUCUGCUGAGUUUUGAUGUCUAGAGGUGGCUAUGGUGAAUUUUGGGAUUAGGGAUGCAUGUGCUUGAAUUCUGGGUAUUUGGGGUGCUUGGGAUGAGUGGAGUAUGUUCAUAAGGUUGUUUUUGAGUUUGGUGAAGGUUUGGAGAAGUUGUGGUUGAGUUUGGCUCGAGGAAAUCGCAGGAAGGAAAACUGAGGUGGUGUCUGUCUGUGACUAGCGCUACAGCACUAGCCUUUGGGUGCUGUAGCGCUAGGCCAUGCAUGCUGAGGGGAUUUUGCUUCUGUUUGUAGCGCUGUAGCAUCCUCCAAUGAGCAUUGUAGCACUACCCUGUUUCCAGAAAGGGAUUUUAGGGUUAUUUGCAAAGGUUUUUGACCAAGGGUUUGGGGUUUGAUUCCACCACCUUGUUUGGUGGAACUUGGACUUCCCGGGGGCACGGGAUUGGUCCCAAGGCUAGGUUUUGGACUUGAGGUUUGGUGAUGACUUUGACCUAUGGUUUUGUUUAGGUGAGCGCUAGGGCUCGAGAGGGAUCGUGCUCAAGGAGUCAAGUGAUCAAUGUAAGUGAAUCGAAAGGUAAGAAAACUGCACCCGGUUAUAUGUCUGUGAUGGGACUAAGUGCUCUCGAUAUUUGUAUUAUGUCAAUGAUGGUAUUAUGCCAUGGGACAUGUGAUAGCGGCCUAAGGGUGCCGUACAAAAUACUUGCGCACAGGGUGCGGCUUGGCCACUGGUAGCCGAGGACAGCUUAAAUAUUCACUGAGCUCGAUUUAAACGGGCCAGAGUCAGUGGGAUAACGGAGGGAGCGGCCUGAGGGCGCUAGCCCUAGUUAUCAUUUGUGAACUGAUAUUUGAUAUGAGUUGAUAUGUUUAGUAUGUUGAAUACUUGAUUAUACUAAAUGAUUAUAUGGUUGAGAACAUGUGAUGCAAUAUGAGAUAUUGAUUUGUCU